UCCCUUGGGUCAGUCGGGGUCAGCUGUCCCGGCUGUGUCCCCUCCCAACUCCUUGUGCCCCCCCAGCCUCCCCGCUGGUGGGGUGGGCUGAGAAGCAGUAAAGGCAUUGGCUCUGUGUAAGCAUUGCUCAGCAGUAACGAAAACAUCCCUGUAUUAUUCACACUGUUUUCAGCACAAAUCCAAAACAGACCCCCAUACUAGCUGCUGUGAAGACAAUUAACUCUACCCCAGCCAAAACCAGCACAUCAGGUUUCAGACAC